rnacentral:rRNA from 1 species
UACGUAGGGUGCGAGCGUUGUCCGGAAUUAUUGGGCGUAAAGAGCUCGUAGGCGGUUUGUCGCGUCGACUGUGAAAACCCGAGGCUUAACCUCGGGCCUGCAGUCGAUACGGGCAGACUAGAGUUCGGUAGGGGAGACUGGAAUUCCUGGUGUAGCGGUGAAAUGCGCAGAUAUCAGGAGGAACACCGGUGGCGAAGGCGGAUCUCUGGGCCUUACCUGACGCUCAGGCGCGAAAGCUAGGGGAGCGAACAGG